CGCCACCAUCGCUGCCCGGGUGUGCGCGGGUCCUGUUUGUGACAGUGAGGCAGAGGAGGAUUAUCCGGAUCAUGGCCUCCCGGCCAGAAGCCACAGUGUCUCUCCCUGGCCCCAGAGCGCCCCUAGCACCCGGACAGUGGCGGGCGACCUACGCCCGAGAUUCCCGCGGCUCAAGCUGCAGGAAGACUCAGAGCAAAAGAAGACAAGCCCGGGGAGGGAGAGAGCGGGGGAGGCAGGCACAAAGAACAUUCCUGCCAAAUGUGCCUCUUUUCUAAAGGGCUUCGAGCUUCCUAAGGACUGCAAGCUUUCCAAAUGCCAACGGGGGAAAAACGCCUUAAAAAUAAAGAAACCCGCCCCAACCCUUCUGUUUACUUAGUGGACCAGACACCGCACUGGGACGUUCCCUCACCUGUCAUCUCCGACCGGAGGAUCUUCUCUCCCACCCCACGUUUAAGACCAAUUAAAGCUACAAACAGUAAACUGCUGGCACUUUGCGUUUUGGAGACCUCCUGAUCCAGUUGUACUAGCAAUGCAGUACUUUGGCGGGAGGACUGGGUCAGUGUUUGCUGAGACAAUUUUAUUUUUAGUUUUAUGAAGUGUGAAAGAAGGUUGGGUUUUAAAUCACGGGCCUAUUAUUUUAGACUCAGAUUGAUGUAGGUGCUUGACUCUUAAAAUUAAAACUGCUCCUAUACAAUAGUGUUAUGAAAGUAUGAUUUAUCCUUUAUUUUGUAAUGUAAUGGCUUAAAUUAGUCAUCCAAAGUGCACUGUGACUACUCGGUUGAGGGUUUUUCUCCCUGGAGUAAAAUCCUAUUUUAAGACCGCU